rnacentral:rRNA from 1 species
UACGGAGGGUGCAAGCGUUAUCCGGAUUCACUGGGUUUAAAGGGUGCGUAGGUGGGCAGGUAAGUCAGUGGUGAAAUCUCCGAGCUUAGCUCGGAAACUGCCGUUGAUACUAUUUGUCUUGAAUAUUGUGGAGGUAAGCGGAAUAUGUCAUGUAGCGGUGAAAUGCUUAGAUAUGACAUAGAACACCAAUUGCGAAGGCAGCUUACUACACAAUUAUUGACGCUGAGGCACGAAAGCGUGGGGAUCAAACAGG